UUCACAUAAACACUGCAAUAAAGUGUUAAGAUUAUUGAAACAAUGCUUGGAAAGUAACAAGGAAUCCUAAAAUGUGCAAAUCUUGUAUUUUGCCUACAUAGAAUUAAUGUGGAGAAAAGAAUGAAAUUGAAUAUUUAAUCUUCUAGAAAUGACUCUCAAUGGUUAUCUGUAUAAAAUGUAUAUAUUUAGCUAUAAUACUAUGAAACUAC
rnacentral:lncRNA from 1 species